ensembl:snRNA U1 U1 spliceosomal RNA
GUGCUUUUACAGAUGUCUUAACAUUCAUAGAAGGUUGUUUUCCCAGGGUGAGGCUCAUCCAUUGAACUCUAGAUGUGCUGACCCUGUGAGUUCCCCAAACAGGAAACUCCACUGUGUAAUUUGUAGUAGUAGAGGACUGCAUUCUUGUUCUCUCUUU